UUUAACUGAAGAGUUUGAUCAUGGCUCAGAUUGAACGCUGGCGGCAGGCUUAACACAUGCAAGUCGAGCGGGGGA
rnacentral:rRNA from 1 species